GGGAAGAGCCCAAGAUUGAAAGCUGGCGUCUUCGGCGUCCGCAUUGUAAUCUCAAGAAGUGUUUUCCGCUUCGGACCAAGCCUAAGUCCCCUGGAAAGGGGCAUCAUAGAGGGUGAUAAUCCCGUACAUGGCUUGGAGCGCCCGAGGCUUUGUGAUACGCUUUCUAAGAGUCGAGUUGUUUGGGAAUGCAGCUCAAAAUGGGUGGUAAAUGCCAUCUAAGGCUAAAUAUUGGGGAGAGACCGAUAGCGAACAAGUACAGUGAUGGAAAGAUGAAAAGAACUUUGAAAAGAGAGUUAAACAGUACGUGAAAUUGCCAAAAGGGAAGGGUAGGAGGUCAGAGAUGCGGCCUGGGAUUCAGCCUUGCUUUUGCUUGGUGUUUUUCCCAGAUUGCAGGCCAACGUCGGUUUUGGGCACUGGAGAAGGGUAGGAGGAACGUGGCACCUCUCGGGGUGUGUUAUAGCCUCCUACUGGAUACAGCGACCGAGACCGAGGACAGCAGCGUACUCGCAAGAGCGGGCCUUCGGGCACCUUUACGCUUAGGGCGUUGGCAUAAUGGCCCUCUACCACCCGUCUUGAAA
rnacentral:rRNA from 1 species